rnacentral:rRNA from 1 species
UGGGGAAUAUUGGACAAUGGGCGAAAGCCUGAUCCAGCCAUGCCGCGUGUGUGAAGAAGGUCUUCGGAUUGUAAAGCACUUUAAGUUGGGAGGAAGGGCAGUAAGUUAAUACCUUGCUGUUUUGACGUUACCGACAGAAUAAGCACCGGCUAACUCUGUGCCAGCAGCCGCGGUAAUACAGAGGGUGCAAGCGUUAAUCGGAAUUACUGGGCGUAAAGCGCGCGUAGGUGGUUUGUUAAGUUGGAUGUGAAAGCCCCGGGCUCAACCUGGGAACUGCAUCCAAAACUGGCAAGCUAGAGUACGGUAGAGGGUGGUGGAAUUUCCUGUGUAGCGGUGAAAUGCGUAGAUAUAGGAAGGAACACCAGUGGCGAAGGCGACCACCUGGACUGAUACUGACACUGAGGUGC